GGCUCAUAGAUUUGUCCGAAAAAAUCUCUAAAACCGCUAAUAUCGCUCAAAAACAAAAGUUAUAUGGAAUAUUAACAUAAAAUAUAAAGAAUAAUACAAUAUGGAAAAGGAAUGAACCGGCCGGCUCACAAAUUCCCAUAUAUAUACACUUCUCUUUAGCUUAUAUUCAUCUUCUUAAGGCGUGUCUUUCUUUACCUAUCUUUUUUUUUUCUGAACAGAGAAGUUAUUCAUACUAACACUGUCUAAUCAGAUGGAACUCUGCGCGAUAUGCAAAGAGGAGAGGCAAAAGUGCACACAAAAGUGUGUGCUAACACCCUACUUGCCGGCGAACAAACCUGAGAGCUACGCUUGCUUAGUUUAUGUGUUUGACGUGAAAAAUCUGGUUAGAAUUCUCAAAGAGAUUGAUCCUAGCCAGAGGCAAGCUUGCGUGGACUCGCUGUGUUUCGAGGCGGAAGCACGUAUCCGGGACCCAGUUAAUGGCACCCUUGGCAUAAUUCGCGACAACCAGCGUCGUAUUCAACACCUUCAAAGGGAACAAUGGGAAUUGCUCAGUUUGAGAAAUGCUCUAAGGGAAUUGGCCAUGAACCAUGGAAGAUCACGUCUUUGAGGGCAUCUAAUUAGUACUGCUUUUAUUUUUUUAGUAUGGGUUUGAAUUGUUAGAAUACUUGUUUCGAAUCAUGUCUUUGUUGGGUUUUUUUCUUCUGAAUAAUCUCAUUAUUAUUAUUAUGGAGAUAGAGUUAAAACUCAUCUCUCUUUCAUUUUGAUUAUAAUGAUCCCCGAGUAUUAAACA